CGAAAGUAAAAGCUUAUUCCUGUCCCGCUAAGUCAAGGAAUCUGCAGUUAAAUUCUGUGGUACUUUCG
rnacentral:tRNA from 1 species